rnacentral:rRNA from 1 species
ACGCCUACGGGCGGCUGCAGUAGGGAAUAUUGGUAAUGGGCGAAAGCCUGAACCAGCGACGCCGCGUGCGGGAUGACGGCCUUCGGGUUGUAAACCGCUUUCAGCAGGGAAGAAGCGCAAGUGACGGUACCUGCAGAAGAAGCGCCGGCUAACUACGUGCCAGCAGCCGCGGUAAUACGUAGGGCGCAAGCGUUGUCCGGAAUUAUUGGGCGUAAAGAGCUCGUAGGCGGUCUGUCGCGUCUGCUGGGAAAUCCUCAGGCUCAACCUGGGGCUUGCAGUGGGUACGGGCAGACUAGAGUGCGGUAGGGGUGACUGGAAUUCCUGGUGUAGCGGUGGAAUGCGCAGAUAUCAGGAGGAACACCGAUGGCGAAGGCAGGUCACUGGGCCGCAACUGACGCUGAGGAGCGAAAGCAUGGGGAGCGAACAGGAUUAGAUACCCUUGUAGUC